UGUAAUUUUAAUGGAUAUAAUAAGCGUAUACAAAAGAUUUUAAAUAAACAUUGGCACUUACUAAAAGUUGAUCCCAUUUUACAUAGUAUUCUACCUUCGAAACCCAGAAUUAUAUACAGAGGAGCAAACAAUUUUAAAAAUAUACUAGUUAAAAGCCAUUUAAACCCUACCAAACCUAAACAUUUUAUUCAGGAUCUUAAAGGAUUCUAUGGCUGUGGUAUGUGU